GUAAUCCACCACCAAAAUCUCUUUUUAGAGUCUGCUUCCUCAAACCCCUGCUGGUACCCACAGUGUUGGGUUGAGUUUCCCGGGAAACAGACCCUGAAGUGAAGGUCUCUGUGCAGGAAGUUCACUGGAGUAGUGCCCUCUGCGUCAAUCCCUGCGGGAGAGUGAAGUAUGUGGGACUGGGCAGAGAGAGGAGUUGAACUGCAAUGCAAUUACAAGGCCUCAGUGGAGUCUAUAGGAGCUCUGGAGCUGGGAUGGAGCUACAGAGUCAUCCCAAAUUAAGGCAAGGGGGCGAGGCAGUCAUACUCCAACAGUGGUCAGUCAUUGGAUGAGGGCUAGCCUUUAUCUCUAGGGUAGGGGCAUGAACUUGGCUGAAACAACUGUCUUCAGCUGAAAGCUGUGCCUGGUGAGGGACUCAGCUGGACUCCAUCGGCCACCAACUCUCCCAGCAGCUGGGGAAAUGAGUGCCUUGGUCUGAAAGGGGAUCUGGAUAGCAUACCACAGCAUGGCUACAAUGUGCUGGGCAUUGCUUUGGUGUUGAGAUACAGCAGUGAACGUAGCAGACAAAAUCCCAUGUUCUUUUCUACGAUUUAAAUGGUGUGCUCAAGGAAGGCAUCACUGUGCAGCUGGCGUUGAACAAAGACUUGGAGGAAGAGAGGAAACAAGCUAUGCAGAUAUUUGGGGCAAAUGUUUUCCAGGCAGCAGCAACACUGUGCACAUAUGUCUAUAAAAAGUACACCAGGCUUAUAAGUUUUGCAGAGAUUGGGAAUAACUGAAUCACAUUCAAGUCAAUGUAAAGAGAUACAGACUCUCUUACUGCCAAUUCACUUUAUUCCCGGGGCCUCGUCUCACCUGUCUCAAAAGUGAACUUCGUAUUUGGUUGUCGGGAUUCAGAAACACAUUCUGGAUAAGGAUGGAGCAUCACAGGACGGCUCGUGUCGGAGGAAGGGAUUUCUCCUGGGUUGUGCUGUUGUUAAUCACUCCAGAUACGUCUGAACGACAACAAACUCCCCAAGGGUUCCUUUCGAAAGCUCACACUUUGUUCUCCAAAGCCAUUGGGCCAAACAGCAACCAACAAACACAAAACAGCCCAUUUAAGAAAUCAAUACAGAGCCAGUCUUGAUGACCUAGUGGUUAAAGUUUGGUGCUCACUGAGUUUGCUGCGGCGGCCCGGGUUCGCUUCCAGGAUGCAGAACCACACCACCCAACUGUCAGGUGCCAUGCUGUGGGGGCGGCUCACACAGAAGAACCAGAAAGACUUACAACCAUGAGUACAACCGCAUAC
rnacentral:lncRNA from 1 species